CCCUAUGGGCGGGCCGUGGCGGGGGAGCCUUUGCGCUCGCCGGUUCGUACAUGCCGGUCUGUCAACCCUGCCUCGCGCUCGCCCACCCGG
rnacentral:antisense_RNA from 1 species